UUACUAAAUACUCAAUUAACCUACAUCACACCACAUCCUAUCCUACCUGUUGACAUUACUGUGGAACAACUAUCCCCACACCAUGCCUUUAGUAGAUUUUUCUUCUUUGUUUGAGUUUGUUCCAUGCCUUGCAUGUUUAUUAAUGAUUACAUUCAGAUAUGAUGGAUUUAUUUUAUUUUUAAAUCUACAAACCAUGCCCCAAUUUAAAUACUACUACAACACAAAAUCUCUCUAUCUGUCUUUCAAUAUACACGGCCACACAACCCUUAACACUUCAUCCUCUUCCUCUCGAUACCCUCGACAGACGACCGGAGAUCGGGAACUUCUGACCGGCGACGUCUGUUCCGGUAACCACCACACCCACAGCCGAACCCCCCCUCUUCUCUUCGGUAAUCGCCGGCCACCACCAUUGGUGGCGGCGCACUUCGGUGGCAGCAGAGCCCGACGACUCGAGGCAGUGGUGGUGAUUUUGUUGUUGAUGACGAUGGUGGGCCCGUGAGCGACAGAGGGAGAUCGAGAAACAGAGAGAGUGGCGGAGUAGUCGAUGAUGAUGAUGUUCAGUUAGAAAUGUUCAACUUCAGAUGGACUCGGUUCAGGUUUCAAGGUCGAGGUUUGGUAAAGCAUGUGUUCACUCGGUCCAGAUUCAGCUGUGGUAGUGGGGAUUAUUUAGGUUCGGUUCACACGGGUUCGGUCAAGACAAGUCAAACUGGUCAAUGGUUUGGUUCGGUCAGCAUAAGUCGGCGGUUCGGUUCGUGGUUCGGGUUGACUCGGUCACACCGAGUCAACUCGGUCAACUCAGCGAGUCAACCAAGUCAACUCAGUCAAUGUUUCGACACGAAGAUGGGUAAAGUCUAACGACGCGAUUCCGUUUACGUUAUUUUUAUAGCGUUAAUCAUACGUGAGAAACGAGCUCGAACCAAUCGCUUAGAGUAUACUUUACAUUUUUACAUAAUUGAAGAAAUCUUAUAUAUUGAUUUUAUUGAUUGAA